rnacentral:lncRNA from 1 species
AGAAGAGUCACAAUAUUUUCAUUAAAUCUGUAAAGUGAAGAUUUACAAAGAACAUAAAAAAACUACAUAAAACAAAAAAAAAAAUCCUAAAGGUUUGGACUAGUUAAGUGAGCAAGGAUAAGAACAAAGAUGUUUUAAAUGGACUUUUGAUUCUUGGUCAUUCAUUCCAUAAAUUCCUCAGUCAUAGCUUCAAACCUUUCAAAGUCCUCGUUCUUCACAAAUUGAGAAGGGUCAAAGGACAAUGUAUAGAGAAUAGUAGCUAGGCCUUCAGAGGAAGACACAUCAGAGCCUAAAGCAACAACAACAACAGUUGGGACUUCCAAGAAAGGAAUGUCCACCCGAGGAAUGACCACAGGUAACUAGAAACGAUGCCAAGGGAUCAACCAUUGGGAUUUCCUGGGAUUAGAGCCAGAGGGAGACACUGCCACCCUUGAAGUUCCUUUUGAUGUAGUAC